UUUAAUUGAACUAAUUAGAGAUAUUUUAAUAUUAGGUAUUAUUGGGCCUAAUAAUUAAAUUAGAGGUAUCAUUCUUUAAGCCCAAAUAUAAUACUAGAAUAGUAAGAGGUGAGGAGAGUGAGAAGUAGGAUUCCAAAGAAAAUAGGAAAAGUAAGGAGAAGAGGGGAAGAAUAAGAGAGAAGUCCAGAAAAUUGAAGAGGUAAGGGGGAGAAUCCUUAUUAUUAUGGGUUAGUAUAAUUGGGCAAUGGGUGGAAG
rnacentral:lncRNA from 1 species